rnacentral:rRNA from 1 species
CCUACGGGUGGCAGCAGUGAGGAAUAUUGGUCAAUGGGCGGGAGCCUGAACCAGCCAAGCCGCGUGAGGGAAGAAGGUACAGCGUAUCGUAAACCUCUUUUGUCAGGGAACAAAGGCGGGGACUAGUCCCCGGAUGCGGGUACCUGAAGAAAAAGCAUCGGCUAACGCCGUGCCAGCAGCCGCGGUAAUACGGAGGAUGCGAGCGUUAUCCGGUUUUAUGGGGUUUAAAGGGUGCGCAGGCGGCCUGUUAAGUCAGCGGUAAAAGCCCGGGGCUCAACCCCGGCGAGCCGUUGAAACUGGCGGGCUGGAGUUGGAGAGAAGUACGCGGAAUGCGCGGUGUAGCGGUGAAAUGCUUAGAUAUCGCGCAGAACCCCGAUUGCGAAGGCAGCGUACCGGCUCCACACUGACGCUGAGGCACGAAAGCGUGGGUAUCGAACAGGAUUAGAUACCCUAGUAGUC